rnacentral:rRNA from 1 species
GAUGAACGCUGGCGGCGUGCUUAACACAUGCAAGUCGAACGGAAGGGCCCAAGUUUCCUUGGGUACUCGAGUGGCGAACGGGUGAGUAACACGUGGGUGAUCUGCCCUGCACUUCGGGAUAAGCCUGAGAAACUGGGUCUACUACCGGAUAGGACCAGAUGUUGGAUGGGGAGGUGGAAAGCUUUGCGGUUUGGGGUGAGCUGGCGGCCUAUCAGCUUGUUGGUGGGGUAAUGGCCUACCAAGCCGUCGACCGGUAGUCGGCCUGUGAGGGUGUCAGGCCGCACUGGGUCCGAGAGACGGCACAGACGCCGACUGGAGGAAGCAGUGGGGAAUAUUGCACAAUGGGCGCCAGGCGGGUGCAGCGAGGCCGCGUGGGGGAUGACGGCCUUCGGGGUGAAAAAUGCUAGCGCGAGGAACGAAGCGUUAUUUGACGGUACCUGGAGAAGAAGCACCGGCUAACUACGUG